rnacentral:rRNA from 1 species
CCCUUAGAUGUUCUGGGCCGCACACGCGCUACACUGAAGGAGGCAGCGUGUACUCCUGGAUCGAAAGAUUUGGGUAACCCGCGAAUCUCCUUCGUGCUAGGGAUUGAGGUUUGCAAUUAUCCUUCAUGAACGAGGAAUUCCCAGUAAGUGCAAGUCAUAAGCUUGCGCUGACUACGUCCCUGCCCUUUGUACACACCGCCCGUCGCUACUACCGAUUGAAUGAACUAGUGAGGUAAUCGGAUCGGCUGCAAUCUGCCUUCGGCCGCAAGGUCGGGCUCUUGCGGCGGAGAAGACGCCCAAACUAGCUUAUCUAGAGGAAGUAAAAGUCGUAACA